rnacentral:lncRNA from 1 species
UUGAACUUUGCAUUGAAAAUUCGACGAUGAAGAAAAGCGAGUUCUUUGUUUUUCUGUUUCUUAUUUGCAUGCUCACACGUUUCAAUGGUGGAUUAGCCAACCGUCAUUAUCCAGCAGAUGCACCAAUGGUUGACGCAAGUGAUUGUUCGAUGAUUUUAAUAAAUGCCGAUGGUUGCAUCAGAGAUCUGAUAUCUUCUUUCUUCUCCAAUUGUAUUGCAUUGCAUGGACAUUGUUGCCAUGUCGUUUCAAAGCUCUCGGGGAAUUGCUUCGAAAAAGCAUUUAUGGGGAGCCCUACUUUUCACCGCAAGCUCUUUACAUUCUGUGCUCGCCAUCCACGAGGGAUCGAUUAGUCAAAUAAUUUUGCUAAUAUUUAUUAUUUUACAUUUGCGGUUUUAUGAUUUAUGUAAGUUAAGCA